rnacentral:tRNA from 1 species
GCGGACGUGGUGAAAUUGGCAGACACGCUAGACUUAGGAUCUAGUGCCGCAAGGUGUGGAGGUUCAAGUCCUCUCGUCCGCACCA